GCACAUUACUGAUCUGCAGCUGGGGAGAGGUGGUAGCAAGCUCCUCUCCCAUACAUACUUCCAGCCUCCAUGGAGGGAGACCGACUGCCUCUCCUCCCAAUACAGAGUCCUGCUGCUGGGGAAAGGAGACUGGGCUCUCUAUUCCCUGCUGGAUACUCUGCCGCUGGGGACUAGAGACUGGGCUCCCAAUUCCCAACAAAUAACACUGCCGCUGGGGAAUGGAGACUGGGCUCCCAAUUCCCGGC
rnacentral:lncRNA from 1 species